AGAUGAGAGAUACACCCGCCCACAGGGGACUGUGGGCGGACCUCAGGACGAGGCCUCCCCAGCUUCGACCUGGUCGUGCCUCGCGCACAACCGGAACUCGCGGGUUCCGGGUCUCCUCACCGAUCGGA
rnacentral:ncRNA from 1 species